UACGGGGGGAGCAAGCGUUGUUCGGAAUUACUGGGCGUAAAGCGUGCGCAGGCGGUUUCACAAGCUCGAUGUGAAAGCCCCGGGCUUAACCUGGGAAUGGCAUUGAGGACUGUGGAGCUCGAGUGCGGCAGAGGGAGGUGGAAUUCCACGUGUAGCAGUGAAAUGCGUAGAGAUGUGGAGGAACACCGAUGGCGAAGGCAGCCUCCUGGGCCGACACUGACGCUCAUGCACGAAAGCGUGGGGAGCAAACAGG
rnacentral:rRNA from 1 species